UACAGAGGGGGCAAGCGUUAUUCGGAAUUAUUGGGCGUAAAGGGCGCGUAGGCGGCUUGGCAAGUGGAUGGUGAAAUCCCUCGGCUUAACCGAGGAACUGCCGUCCAAAACUGCUUCGCUUUGAGACCGGGAGAGGUGAGUGGAAUUCCCAGUGUAGCGGUGAAAUGCGCAGAUAUCAGGAGGAACACCGGUGGCGAAGGCGGGUCUCUGGGCCGAUAUUGACGCUGAGGAGCGAAAAGC
rnacentral:rRNA from 1 species